UGGGGAAUAUUGCACAAUGGGGGAAACCCUGAUGCAGCAACGCCGCGUGAAGGAAGACGGUUUUCGGAUUGUAAACUUCUGUUCUUAGUGAAGAAUCAUGACGGUAGCUAAGGAGCAAGCCACGGCUAACUACGUGCCAGCAGCCGCGGUAAUACGUAGGUGGCAAGCGUUGUCCGGAAUUACUGGGUGUAAAGGGAGCGCAGGCGGGAGAUCAAGUCGGCUGUGAAAUCUACAGGCUUAACUUGUAGACUGCGGUCGAAACUGGUUUUCUUGAGUGAAGUAGAGGUAGGCGGAAUUCGUGGUGUAGCGGUGAAAUGCUUAGAUAUCACGAAGAACUCCUAUUGCGAAGGCAGCUCACUAAACUGCAACUGACGUUCAUGCUCGAAAGUGUGGGUAUCAAACAGGAUUAGAUACCCUAGU
rnacentral:rRNA from 1 species